GGGCGGAGUGAGGGUCGUCGGAACUCGGAGGAGCGGGGAGUCGGCGGUGGAUAUGAUCAAGAUACCUCCGAUGCGGGUGAUCCCUGUGAAGGGGUCGUUCAACACCCCAAGGGGUCGCUACCCACAGGUUGAGAACUGUUGAUGUAGCCCAACUUCAUACCUGCGCAUGUGCACUUCAAGCCCGCUGCUCUUUCCACCGCCAAACGCUUCCCAGAGCGCCACCCCACCUCCAGCAGUACUGAAGGUCUUUGGGUUUUCAUACGUGGUGCUAGGACUUGAGCCCAGGGCCUCGUGCAUGCAGAUCCGCUCGUGGCUUCUCUCUCCUGCUGUGAUCCACACUGCCACAGGACAUUUGCUAGGUACUGGAUUCCCUAAGAGCAGAAAUGCAGGAACAGGACCUGAGCCAAGGCAAGGCAACCAGGCACCUAACUUGGGAAGCUGGGUGUCAAGUGGAAGAUGAUAUCAUAUGCCAGAUGAUGAGUAAAGAAACUGGAGCACUGAGAGAUGAAGCGACUUCCAACCAUGGUAGUGAAUCAACAUCGCCUUCCCCGGCUCUACCCUGGCUCUGCUAACUGUUGACUUUGUCCAUUUCUUGGAAUCUGUUUCCUGCUUGUACACACACAAAGCACAGGCCCCAAAGAACAUUCCUAAGCUGAGCAAACUUGACCUGGAUUCCCACAGACAACAUUAGCUACCCUAUAUAACAUUUCAGCAGAAAGCUAGAUAUGCUACCAAAACCCAGUCGACAUCCUUAAGUAUAUCUCUAAAUGACUCUAACAUUAGUAUUUCGGCAACAAGGAAAAACACACGAAACUGUCCUUGGACUUCAUACCAAUGGGUGAAACUGCCAAACUUCACACAGAGCAAGCAGGUGGUGCCGUCUACGUGCUGCGUUUGACAGCCUGAAUGGGACCUCCCUCCUACAUGGCAUCAGUUGUGCUAAGGUCUUGGGACCUGUGACAAGAUAAAGUUAAGGAUCUAGAGAUGGGGGAGAUUGUCUGGGCUUAUCUGAGUGGACCCUCAAGGCAAACAAAGCGUCCUUGUAAGAAAGGAGCUGGGGGAAAGGGCCGGAAAUGAUGGUGGGUAAAGCACCUGUCACACAGGUCUGACAGCUUGAGUUUGAUCCCCUCAGCCCCCCGAACCCACAGAAAGGUGGCAGGAGAGAACUGACUUCACAAGUUUAUCCUCUGGCCUCUGCAUGCAUGCCCCGCCCCCCUCCCCUGAGCACGUGCGCACUCGCACACGCGAACACACACACACACACACACACACUAAUAAAAUCAGAAAGGGCCAGUGCCAGAUGUGGUGACACAGGCCCUGUACUUCCUGAUUUAACCCCAAGAAGAGUCCUAGUGUGAGUCCUGCUGCCUGGGCAACUAUGAAAGAUUCUGUAAAUAAGUAAGUGAGUGAAUGAAUGAAUGAAUGAAUGAAAGAGGCUCGUGGUAGAAUGCUUGCCUAGCAUGUAUGACACCCCUCCCUAGAACUGCAGAGAAAUGGGGGUAAAGGAAGAUUUCGUAGCGUGUCCCCAAUGACAGUUGCAUUUCUGUCCAGUGACAGAUUUCCGGUCUGCAGAGCUAACGAUGAGAGAAUCCAUGUAGAUGGUUUUCAGUCACCCAGUUGGUGGGGGUUGGUGGUAACAGCCAGAGACUUACGCUGGGGUUGGACUAAUGGCCUUGUAGUCAGAGUGGGUGUGCUGUCCUAGUGAAUGAUUAUUAAUUGAAUCAGCAGUUUCAGGGGCACAGAAAGUAAUGAUGAGCCAGUUAUGUGUGGAGGACCCCAAUUUUUAGCAGCUGCCAAAUUCUGUACCAAAAAAAAAAAAAAAAAAUUCCAUCAUGGCCUGAUUUAGAUUUGCUUUUCAAUUUGUGAAAAGUCUCCUUCACACAAUAUAUUUUAUCAUGUUUUCUCCUCCUCAAAUUCCUCUCAGAUCCUCCCCACCUCCCUACACACCCAACUUUACACUCUUGUUCUCUCCCUCCCGCC